rnacentral:rRNA from 1 species
CCGGCGACCGGCGCACGGGUGAGUAACACGUAUGCAACCUGCCCUCCGCAGGGGGAUAACCCGGAGAAAUCCGGACUAAUACCGCGUGGUACAUCUGUGGGGCAUCCCACGGGUGUUAAAAGGAAGCGAUUCCGGCGGAGGAUGGGCAUGCGGCGCAUUAGCUAGUUGGCGGGGUAACGGCCCACCAAGGCGACGAUGCGUAGGGGUUCUGAGAGGAAGGUCCCCCACACUGGUACUGAGACACGGACCGGACUCCUACGGGAGGCAGCAG